AUUGAACGCUAGCGGGAUGCUUUACACAUGCAAGUCGAACGGCAGCGCGGACUUCGGUCUGGCGGCGAGUGGCGAACGGGUGAGUAAUGUAUCGGAACGUGCCCAGUAGCGGGGGAUAACUACGCGAAAGCGUAGCUAAUACCGCAUAAGCCCUACGGGGGAACGCAGGGGAUCGUAAGACCUUGCACUCUUGGAGCGGCCGAUAUCGGAUUAGCUAGUUGGUGAGGUAACGGCUCACCAAGGCGACGAUCCGUAGCUGGUUUGAGAGGACGACCAGCCACACUGGGACUGAGACACGGCCCAGACUCCUACGGGAGGCAGCAGUGGGGAAUUUUGGACAAUGGGGGCAAGCCUGAUCCAGCCAUCCCGCGUGUGCGAUGAAGGCCUUCGGGUUGUAAAGCACUUUUGUCAGGAAAGAAACGUCGCGGGCUAAUACCCCGUGGAACUGACGGUACCUGAAGAAUAAGCACCGGCUAACUACGUG
rnacentral:rRNA from 1 species